rnacentral:rRNA from 1 species
UAGCAUAGGGCAUUGAUCAUUGAAAGGUUGUUAUGAAGGAGGAAUUAUUAGUAAGCUUUGGUUAGUUCUUUAAAGUUGAAUAGGAGAUUAAUUUUGUACAUACCGCCCGUCAAGCAAAAAGAAGAGAUGGAGUUUUGUAGCAAAUGUUUUUUGUGGUUACAGCAUGCUAAUUUGUGUUAAGUCGAAACAUGGUUGCUGUUCAGGAAUGAGU